UCGUAGGUGGCAAGCGUUGUCCGGAAUUAUUGGGCGUAAAGCGCGCGCAGGCGGUUCCUUAAGUCUGAUGUGAAAGCCCCCGGCUCAACCGGGGAAGGUCAUUGGAAACUGGGGAACUUGAGUGCAGAAGAGAAGAGCGGAAUUCCACGUGUAGCGGUGAAAUGCGUAGAGAUGUGGAGGAACACCAGUGGCGAAGGCGGCUCUUUGGUCUGUAACUGACGCUGAGGCGCGAAAGCGUGGGGAGCAAACAGGAUUAGAUACCCUGGUAGUCCACGCCGUAAACGAUGAGUGCUAAGUGUUAGAGGGUUUCCGCCUUUAGUGCUGCAGCUAACGCAUUAAGCACUCCGCCUGGGAGUACGGCCGCAAGGCUG
rnacentral:rRNA from 1 species